UACGGAGGGUGCAAGCGUUAAUCGGAAUUACUGGGCGUAAAGCGUGCGUAGGCGGUUCGUUAAGUCUGUUGUGAAAGCCCCGGGCUCAACCUGGGAAUGGCAAUGGAUACUGGCGAGCUAGAGUGUGUCAGAGGAUGGUGGAAUUCCCGGUGUAGCGGUGAAAUGGCGUAGAGAUCGGGAGGAACAUCAGUGGCGAAGGCGGCCAUCUGGGACAACACUGACGCUGAGGCACGAAAGCGUGGGGAGCAAACAGG
rnacentral:rRNA from 1 species